rnacentral:misc_RNA from 1 species
CUGUGCACACAGCCCUCGCACCUCUGGACACUGCGGCCUGCUUCACGGGGACGCUGCUGUCCGUCGGGGGUUUCCUGUUCUCCAUCUUCCAUUUCCGUCGAUGCCGCAGGGAGGGGGCCGUGUGUGGACGGCCUGCCCGCAUGCGCCGCGGCAGGUGGGGCACUGCCACGAGUCUGUGGCAGCAAGGGGAGGGGGGGCCCCCACCCCCUCCUGCGCCCGCACGCCCUUCACAGGCGUGGGUGGGCCCAGGCGGAGGGGCGCCGCGGAUGCACGCGUGCCUGCGCACCAAGAGCGCAUAGCGCGUCCUCCUGACUGAGCACAGGGGGAGGGAAGCGGCGGGCGCUCGCCGGGGAAAGCCCAGGCAGCGCGCGUGGCAUGUGCGCAACAGCAACAUUGCGUGCGCAAUCGCUGCCUGAACCGAGGUGUGCCUCGAACGAUCCGCAAACCCCGCGUAGCAUACCGCGCGCAACGCCGGGCCGGAUGCCCUCACGGCACAGCGCAGGCGGGAGAGUCGAGGCUCUGGCGGCGGUUUGGGCAGCACAGCGCUGGCGCGCUAGAAGGCGGCACGCCCUCGGCACUCCAUGCUGCCGCCGCCACCCACCCGCCGCUGCAGCAAUCAAAAGCACGGUCAGGGGCGCGUGCGCGGCUGCGCGAGCAUCGCCUCCUAUCGUCCCGUAAGCGCAGCUUCGGGCAAUGCCGCGCUGGCGUCUGAGACCGGUGGCCAAGGCCGUGAUCCGUGCGUUUUUUUUUUUCGGAUAUUGUUGUGCUGUCGGUGAGGCUAUCGUGUUCACGUUGUCGUGGCGCGCGUACUACUAUUAAACGCAGAGGUUCGGAAGCGUAAGAUGGGCUGUACCAACCAUUAGCUCCAUCACGACCCGAAUUAUUUGGAGGAUACGAAUCUAAACCCUUGUAGGGCGGGGUGCUGAGUGCCAUGAGGUGAGUGAGUGAAUCUGCGAGAAAAGGCCGCACGUGGUUUUCUGUGACCCUGUUGAUCCUGCUGUGUUGGUGGCACGUCAAACCCCGUUUUCAUUCUCUAGCACCUGACGGGUUAGCUGCAAGGGAGUGUACUGCAUCCUCUUGUCGCUGCUUGCUAGAGUUGUUGCAUUAUCGUACACCAUUGCGGCAGCUCCUGCAGUGAAGUUUCUGUGCGAUGCUUGGCCCGUCUACAGGCAGCAACGGCACUUCACAGAACGACAGAGUCGCUGCUUCUGUGGUGAUGGAUUUUAGUUGGCCUACAGAGUCGGGCCGCAUCUGCUAAAGUUGUGGUAUAGGCAACACGCGACCGCUGCGCAGGCGGGAGGUGCCUGCGCGCAGUGAUGCUACGAGAGCCGAUGCUGGCGUAUCCGCAUGAGAACUGCUAAAGUGCUAUGCCGAGACAGCUAUCCGGCGUGUGCACCUGCCGCCUCAAAUGCGCAAUGGAGCCUCGUCGCGUGAGUGCGGAGAGACAAAGGCGUGAGGGCAGCGCAACAGCGCGAAGGAGUUGAGGGGCAGCAGAUCGGCCUCGUUGCGGAGGUGCCUCUUGUGCUCUUAUCGAUGGAGAACAAAGCAUGCGGAUUUGUAAUUGUCUUCGCGCCGUGCAGCUCGGCGUUUCGUUGCAGUUUUUCGUGGUCUUUUGCGUGUGAAGGUGGAGGUGCUCUUCAACGCUCCAUGACCCUGGGACCGGGCGCUCACGUGCCGUCCGUGUAUGUGUAGGUACUACUAUGUGGUAGGUCUUCUUCUGCUUUGAACUCCUCCGUGCCGCGGGACGUUCGCGGAGACACAUG